GAUGAAGAACGUAGCGAAAUGCGAUACGUAAUGUGAAUUGCAGAAUUCAGUGAAUCAUCGAGUCUUUGAACGCACAUUGCGCCCCCUGGUAUUCCGGGGGGCAUGCCUGUCCGAGCGUCAUUGCUGCCCUCAAGCACGGCUUGUGUGUUGGGCCUCCGUCCUCCUCCCGGGGGACGGGCCCGAAAGGCAGCGGCGGCACCGCGUCCGGUCCUCGAGCGUAUGGGGCUUCGUCACCCGCUCUUGUAGGCCCGGCCGGCGCUUGCCGACACAUCAAUCUUUUUUCCAGGUUGACCUCGGAUCAGGUAGGGAUACCCGCUGAACUUGAGCAUAUCAAUAAGCGGAGGA
rnacentral:misc_RNA from 1 species